rnacentral:rRNA from 1 species
CGGUGCGUUAAACACAAUUGCAAAUCGAACGGACCCAUAUUGAAACCCUGGUGAUAGUAUGGGUUAGUGGCGGACGGGUGAGUAACGCGUGGGCAACCUGCCUUACACAGGGGGAUAACACUUAGAAAUAGGUGCUAAAACCGCAUAAGCGCACAGCUUCGCAUGAAGCGGUGUGAAAAACUCCGGUGGUGUAAGAUGGACCCGCGUCUGAUUAGCUUGUUGGCGGGGUAACGGGCCCACCAAGGCGACGAUCAGUAGCCGGCCUGAGAGGGCGGACGGCCACAUUGGGACUGAGACACGGCCCAGACUCCUACGGGAGGCAGCAGUGGGGAAUAUUGCACAAUGGGGGAAACCCUGAUGCAGCGACGCCGCGUGAGUGAAGAAGUAAUUCGUUACGUAAAGCUCUAUCAGCAGGGAAGAAAAUGACGGUACCUGAGUAAGGAGCCCCGGCUAACUACGUG